UUUGCACCCCACUGAUCCCCCUCUCGCCCGCUUCUCCAAAGGGAAAGCUAGUCCACAAACACAUGGGGAGGGGCGAGAAAGGGGCUGGGUGCGAGACUAGGCAGACGGGGCAAGUAGGGAUGGCUGCUGCCUCAGUUUCUCCACUGGCAAAGGGUGGAUAAUAUUCUUGCCUCUGCAACAGGGGUGCUUCAUAUACUUAAAAACAGGCAAGGAGUUAAACAGAAAACAAAUAUUUUUAAUGGAAAAAAAUGGGGAGCCUGGACAACCCCAUCUUGACCAGUAGAAUAAUGUCUGCAUUGUCCAGCCCUUCCUUGACUGGACUAACGAUGGCUGUCUUGCCCAAAGUGCAGAUUUCUAACAAAGCAAACCCAGGCCUGAUUUAAGUCUGGUGCACAUAGACCAGGCCAAGAUGUGAGGGGGAUUUUGAGAGUCAGGAGUGCUUGCACAAUCGUGCGGAACUUGUAAAGUACUGGGAAAUCAUGCCAAGAACAUUGGGAGAAACCUGGUACUGAUAUAUCCCAUUUUUGCUACAUGGGCCAGAAGAAAUGUCUUUGUGGGUUGGAAUUAAAAGCUUGAGUCAUAUAUAGAAUUUUCUGAGCUGUAAUCAUUUGAUUUAUGAUGUACAGAAUUGCCAGAAAUUACCAAUUUGCUUUGAUAGCUGGAUGUGUUGAUAUAUUCACCAAAUGCAUGAAAGAGAGGUUAACAUAAAUAGCGAGGUCCAGGCCUUGUUAGUCCCUAACUUUAAAAACAACGAGCUGUCCUGUGGCACCUUAGAGACUAAAAGAUAUUAUAUCAUGAGCUUUUGUAUUUGUUAGUCUCUAAAGUGCCACAGGACGGAGCGUUGUUUAUAAACAGAAUGGGUAAAAUAAAGUAACUGGCUUCCGGAGUUCGAUGGUUAUCUUUUCUGUUGAUUAAAUUCAUAUAUUACUUUACUCCAAAUUCCAGUUAUAUCUAGUAUUAUUAGAUGCUAUCUUUGAAGGAAGAUGUUUCAGACCAUUGGAAAAAGAUGAGAGAAGAGGAGAUGGCUGCCAUGAAUUUCAUUUCUUUGUCAGUCUGCUGUUUCUAAACCAAUUUUCUCUGACCAAGUUCAUUUUCUUGCCUUUUUUUUCCCCCAAGGAAGGUUGCCACUUUUCAGUUUUUUGUGGCUUUUUAUACAAAUGUACAUCAGCUGGGAACAGAAAGAAAGCAAACAUUAUUUUGCCUGGUUGGGUUUUUUUUAGGGUAUUGUGGCCCCUAAGUGAGAGAGGGAAAGAUGAUUGAGAACACAAAGACUCACUAAAUACCAGGCAAUACCUUUGGUCAGGCCCUUGUAAUAUGGAGGAAGGAAAUCUUAGCUGGGCCUCUGAUGAGGCUGCCUUCACUUCUAUUCCACAGACAGCAAAUAAAAGAGGGGAGACUCAGAAUACUAGUGAAACUAGUUUGACUGGACUGGAGAUAACAUUGCAAGUUUGUGGUUUUAAGAUUGCCAACUUUCUAAUUGCACAAAACUAAACACCCUUGCCCUGCCCUGCCCUGUCUCUUCUCUGAGGCCCCACCUUUGCCCUGAUCCUUCUCAAAGGCUCUGCUCCGACUCAUUCCAUCCCCUUUCCUCACUCACUCAUUUUCACCUGGCUGGAGCAGGCAAGCUCCCAGCCCCACCCUUCUGCCAAGGCUCUACUCCCACAAAAGCCUCUGUGUGUGUGUGUGUGUGUGUGAGAGAGAGAGAGAGAAAGAGAGAGAGAGAGAGAGAGAGGCCGGUUCUGGGGGAAGCAACACUCUGCUCCCAGUAUGCCUACAGUAGGAUGUGGGGGCAGAGUGUGGACAGGGCAACAUUAGUGGUUUGAGCCUUCCCCCACUGACCAUACCAGCUGCCAAUGCAGAAAGGGGCUCUGGAAUGUUACAAGGGGCUGGAGUACAGGCUCUGGUGUGGAGCCAGGGAUGAGGAGUUUGGGGUACAGAAGGGGACUAUGAGCUGGGGGUAGAGCCAAGGAUGAGGAGUUUGAGGUAUAGAAGGGGGCUCUGAGCCGAGGAUGGAGAGUUGGCUUCAUUUUUCAAAAAUGUACAAGAAUAGAAUAUCCAGUGGAACCACUUGUAGAUUCUCUUCUCAGUUCCUUUCUAGCUGUAGAAAAAUAUUACCCUCGCUCAGUCAUUAGUCAACACAGAUCACCAAAACUAAAGCAGCACAAUACGCUAAAAUCUACCAAGAUGAACUAAUCAGAGAUUCAUUCAGGAGUAGGAACAUGGGUUAGAAAGUGUUUCGUGAGAAAGUGUUUGAUCCAAGUCAGGCUUCAUCACUCCAAAUUUAGAGGGCAAAUGAGGCCUUCUAUGACAGGAGCAUCUGAGGGACAUUUUUAUGAUUAGGAGGCAUGAUCUACAAAUUUGUGCAAAUAUUAUUUUGACCCAGCAAAGUAGUUUGUACAUGUGACAGCUGCUAGCCAGAAUAUACAGUAGGAGCAUAUGCUGCUUUUGCAUUAAUAUGCAUCCGUUUUUUUCUGGACAGAUACAAUAGUUCCAAAGUUUGCUUUGUAUUGUGCAUUUACUAAGCAAUCCUAUGAUUACUGUGCAAAAGAUCUCAACUAUCUAAGUCUUGACAGAACUUGUUCUUAAAGUAUCUUCCUUUAAAUAUAACAUAUUAUUUCUACUUGUACUUCAAGAAUGAACAACUUGGUAUUCAAUAUGUAAAUAUUUUGGCAUACUAAUAAAAAUUAAGACUUCUAGCUCUGCCUUAUGUAUGAGGGUGAUGUAAAUACAAAGCUGGUAUUGUUCAGGAUGAGCUGUACCUCUGCCCUUCCUGUGUCCAUUUGUGAGAGAAAGAGAAAGAAAAAAAAUAUUAUUAACGUCUGUGCCGCGUUGAACUUAAUGGAAAUUGAGCAUUGAAACUUUGUUCUUUUGUAUCCAUGUUCUGGUGGUGGGUUGAGUACAUGUGGAUGAGUUCAGGUCAAUGGAAGUAAUGCAUAUGUGUCCAAAGCCAAAAUAUGCUGGUGUAUGUUUUUGCAUAGAUAUAAUCAUACUAGUAUCAUACACAGAUUAUAAAAUGACUACGCAACAUUUAAAAGCACCCACUUGCAGCCUGCUGGACACAUGGCCUCCUUCCCAUUGAAGUGAUGGCUGGCCAGACAUAAAUGGCUGUUCUUCCCUUUGUUUUAAAGCUCUAGCUCUCUCAGCUAA